GCUGGGCACAGUGGCCCAUGCCUGUAAUCCCAGCGGGCAGGAGGCUGAGACAGGAGGAUCAUGAGUUCAAAGCCAGUCUCAGCAAAAGUGAGGUGCUAAGCAACUCAGUGAAACCCUGUCUCUA
rnacentral:sRNA from 1 species